GACGAACGCUGGCGGCGUGCCUAAUACAUGCGAGUCGAGCGAGCGGAACUAACAGAUUUACUUCGGUAAUGACGUUAGGAAAGCGAGCGGCGGAUGGGUGAGUAACACGUGGGGAACCUGCCCCAUAGUCUGGGAUACCACUUGGAAACAGGUGCUAAUACCGGAUAAGAAAGCAGAUCGCAUGAUCAGCUUUUAAAAGGCGGCGUAAGCUGUCGCUAUGGGAUGGCCCCGCGGUGCAUUAGCUAGUUGGUAAGGUAAAGGCUUACCAAGGCGAUGAUGCAUAGCCGAGUCGAGAGACUGAUCGGCCACAUUGGGACUGAGACACGGCCCAAACUCCUACGGGAGGCAGCAGUAGGGAAUCUUCCACAAUGGACGCAAGUCUGAUGGAGCAACGCCGCGUGAGUGAAGAAGGUUUUCGGAUCGUAAAGCUCUGUUGUUGGUGAAGAAGGAUAGAGGUAGUAACUGGCCUUUAUUUGACGGUAAUCAACCAGAAAGUCACGGCUAACUACGUG
rnacentral:rRNA from 1 species